GAUUCUCAUCGUCCGGGUAAUGGAAUCAGCAAUUUGGAAUCAGACAAUCAAAUCCCCCACUCACUCCAGUCCACUUCCCACGGCCGCCCCAUUUUGUGCUCUUGCUGAUGCUACAAAGAACCAACCGUUGCCGGUAGUUCUCCUUUUCUCUCCUCUGCCAUGGCCGAGCGGCUCUGCUUCUGUUCAUCCUUUUGUCUCAGUCCCCCGUUCUCCGCUCACCCAGAAAGACCCACCGCCCAGAGCCCCGGCCUUCCCCAUCUCCGCCCCAUCGGCGUUGCUGAUGCUUGCUACGUCUCAAGUUCCCACCUUUUGGAGCUCAGCAGCUCCCACCUAUUUGGCCGGCACAAACCCAGAACCCAGAGCAGCUGGGGAGCUCGAGCUUCUCCCGGGAGCUCAAACUCCAGGGUCCGUUCACAGGCGGUCCUGAGCCCGGACAAGGCAGCGGAGAGGGGAGGACUGAGCGGGGAGGCUUAUUAUGACGCCAUUGUUAUCGGGUCGGGGAUUGGUGGGCUGGUGGCCGCGACUCAGCUCGCGGUGAAGGGAGCUAGGAUUCUUGUUCUUGAGAAGUACGUGAUUCCUGGUGGGAGCUCCGGGUAUUAUGAGAGGGACGGGUAUACUUUCGACGUUGGGUCUUCUGUGAUGUUCGGUUUCAGUGACAAGGGAAACCUAAAUUUGAUAACCCAAGCAUUGGCGGCAGUUGGUUGCAAGAUGGAGGUCAUACCUGAUCCAACGACUGUCCAUUUCCAUCUACCAAACGACCUUUCUGUUCAAGUCCACAGGGGGUAUGGUGAAUUUAUUGGAGAGUUGAUCAGCAAGUUUCCACAUGAAAAGGGGGGGAUACUCAAAUUCUAUGGCGAGUGUUGGAAGAUCUUUAAUGCCUUGAACUCGCUGGAGCUAAAGUCGCUCGAGGAGCCACUCUACCUUUUCGGACAAUUCUUUCAGAAGCCGAUUGAAUGUUUAACCCUUGCGUAUUACCUACCCCAGAAUGCUGGAGACAUAGCUCGGAAGUACAUCAAGGAUCCCCAGUUGUUGUCUUUCAUUGAUGCCGAGGUGAGACAGAAGGGGAAAAGAAAAAAGUGUUUUAUAGUCAGCACAGUUAACGCACUCCAGACUCCAAUGAUAAAUGCAAGCAUGGUCCUAUGUGACAGGCACUUUGGAGGAAUUAACUACCCUGUAGGAGGUGUUGGAGGAAUUGCAAAAUCCUUGGCGAAGGGGUUAGUUGAUAAGGGGAGUGAAAUACUGUACAGAGCAAACGUGACUGAUAUCAUUGUCGAGAAUGGGAAGGCUGUAGGAGUCAGGCUCUCUGGUGGAAGGCAGUUCUUUGCUAAAACAAUAAUAUCUAACGCUACAAGAUGGGACACAUUUGGGAAGUUGUUGAAAGGAGAAAACCUUCCGAAAGAAGAGAGGGAUUUUCAAAAGCGGUAUGUUAAGGCUCCGUCUUUUCUAUCCAUCCACAUGGGGGUGAAAGCUGAGGUUUUGCCACCAGAAACAGAUUGCCAUCAUUUUGUUCUUGAGGAUUCGUGGUCAAGAUUGGAAGAGCCGUAUGGAAGUAUAUUCUUAAGCAUUCCAACUGUCCUGGACCCGUCUUUAGCUCCAGAAGGGCGCCAUAUACUACACAUAUUCACGACUUCUUCCAUCGAAGAUUGGGAGGGUCUCCCACGGCAAGAAUAUGAGGCAAAAAAGGAAAAGGUUGCAGAUGAAAUUAUAAGGAGAUUAGAAAAGAAGCUAUUUCCAGGUCUCCAGUCUUCCAUUACUUUUGUGGAGGUAUUGCCUUCUCCUUCGUGGUGGGCACACCUAAGACGCACAGGAGAUACUUAGCUCGGCAGAGCGGAACCUACGGACCGAUGCCUCGAAAUACUCCUAAAGGCCUGCUAGGAAUGCCAUUCAAUACUACGGGACUAAACAGUUUGUAUUGCGUUGGGGACAGCUGCUUUCCCGGGCAAGGUGUCAUAGCUGUGGCCUUUUCCGGAGUAAUGUGUGCUCAUCGGGUAGCUGCCGAUAUCGGGCUCGAGAAGAAGUCUCCUCUGUUGGACAACGCUCUCCUCAGCCUACUGGGUUGGUUACGUUCGUUGGCAUGAAGAAACGUAACAAAUGAAAGGUGGCCAGACUUGAACGUACAGUUUUGAGGCAGAGAGAUGGGCUGUAAAAGGAAGCUCCGUAUUCUUCAAUCGAGUACUAGUACUAGCAUUCGGGAUGUUGAUCGCGGAUAUGAUUUUUCAUGGUUACCGAAGAUCCCAAAUGCUCCCACAGAAGAUACAAAGAUAAUUUCAAAAUGAAGAAUCUUUCCAUC